rnacentral:rRNA from 1 species
CAGCCGCCGCGGGAAUACAGAGGGUGCGAGCGUUAAUCGGAUUUACUGGGCGUAAAGCGUGCGUAGGCGGCUUCUUAAGUCGGAUGUGAAAUCCCUGAGCUUAACUUAGGAAUUGCAUUCGAUACUGGGAAGCUAGAGUAUGGGAGAGGAUGGUAGAAUUCCAGGUGUAGCGGUGAAAUGCGUAGAGAUCUGGAGGAAUACCGAUGGCGAAGGCAGCCAUCUGGCCUAAUACUGACGCUGAGGUACGAAAGCAUGGGGAGCAAACAGGAUUAGAUACCCGUGUAGUCCCUGUCUCUUAUAC